UACGUAGGGGGCAAGCGUUAUCCGGAUUUACUGGGUGUAAAGGGAGCGUAGACGGCAGUGCAAGUCUGGAGUGAAAGGCGGGGGCUCAACCCCCGGACUGCUCUGGAAACUGUACGGCUGGAGUGCAGGAGAGGUAAGUGGAAUUCCUAGUGUAGCGGUGAAAUGCGUAGAUAUUAGGAGGAACACCAGUGGCGAAGGCGGCUUGCUGGACAGUAACUGACGUUGAGGCUCGAAAGCGUGGGGAGCAAACAGG
rnacentral:rRNA from 1 species